CUGUUGGAAUACAGCGGCAUAGUGGUGAGACCCCCGUAUAUGGUGCGGACGCCCAGCGCUUUGUGAUACAUUUUCGAAGAGUCGAGUUGUUUGGGAAUGCAGCUCAAAUUGGGUGGUAAAUUCCAUCUAAAGCUAAAUAUUGGCGAGAGACCGAUAGCGAACAAGUACCGUGAGGGAAAGAUGAAAAGCACUUUGGAAAGAGAGUUAACAGUACGUGAAAUUGUUGGAAGGGAAACGCUUGAAGUCAGACUUGCUUGCCGAGCAAUCGGUUUGCAGGCCAGCAUCAGUUUUCCGGGAUGGAUAAUGGUAGAGAGAAGGUAGCAGUUUCGGCUGUGUUAUAGCUCUCUGCUGGAUACAUCUUGGGGGACUGAGGAACGCAGUGUGCCUUUGGCGGGGGUUUCGACCUCUUCACACUUAGGAUGCUGGUGGAAUGGCUUUAAACGACCCG
rnacentral:rRNA from 1 species